rnacentral:rRNA from 1 species
CUCACCAGACUACGACGGGUAGCUGUUCUGAGAGGAAGAUCAGCAACACUGGAACUGAGACACGGUCCAGACACCUACGGGUGGCAGCAGUCGAGAAUCAUUCACAAUGGACGAAAGUCUGGAUGGUGCAACGCCGGCGUGGAGGAUGAAGGGCCCUAGGGGUCGUAAACUCCUGUCAUAGCAGAGUAAGGCAUAGAUGUUAAUAGCAUCUAUGUUUGAUAGUAUGCUAAGAGGAAGGGACCGGCUAACUUCGUGCCAGCAGCCGCGGUAA